UACGUAGGGUGCAAGCGUUGUCCGGAAUUAUUGGGCGUAAAGAGCUCGUAGGCGGUUCGUCACGUCGGCUGUGAAAUCCCGAGGCUCAACCUCGGGUCUGCAGUCGAUACGGGCGGACUUGAGUACUGCAGGGGAGACUGGAAUUCCUGGUGUAGCGGUGAAAUGCGCAGAUAUCAGGAGGAACACCGGUGGCGAAGGCGGCCCUCUGGACCGGUACUGACGCUGAUGCGCGAAAGCGUGGGUAGCAAACGGG
rnacentral:rRNA from 1 species